rnacentral:rRNA from 1 species
GACGUAGGGGACGAGCGUUGUCCGGAUUCAUUGGGCGUAAAGCGCGCGUAGGCGGCCACGCAAGUCGGGUGUGAAAUCCCGGAGCUCAACUCCGGAACUGCACUCGAAACUGCGCGGCUUGAGGUAGGUAGGGGAGAUCGGAAUUCCUGGUGUAGCGGUGGAAUGCGCAGAUAUCAGGAGGAACACCGGUGGCGAAGGCGGAUCUCUGGGCCUUACCUGACGCUGAGACGCGAAAGCUAGGGGGAGCGAACAGG